GAUGAAGAACGCAGUGAAAUGCGAUAAGUAGUGUGAAUUGCAGAAUUCAGUGAAUCAUCGAAUCUUUGAACGCACAUUGCGCCCCUUGGUAUUCCAUGGGGCAUGCCUGUUCGAGCGUCAUUUGUACCUUCAAGCUCUGCUUGGUGUUGGGUGUUUGUCUCGCCUCUGCGUGUAGACUCGCCUUAAAACAAUUGGCAGCCGGCGUAUUGAUUUCGGAGCGCAGUACAUCUCGCGCUUUGCACUCAUAACGACGACGUCCAAAAGUACAUUUUUACACUCUUGACCUCGGAUCAGGUAGGGAUACCCGCUGAACUUAAGCAUAUCAAUAAGCGGAGGA
rnacentral:misc_RNA from 1 species